rnacentral:misc_RNA from 1 species
UAUAUAUAUAUAUAUAUAUAUCUUAAGAACAUAAUAAAAUAUGAAGAGAACAUAAUCUAAUGUAACACAGCACUUAGUAUCACAGCCAUUACAUGCAGAAACAAUCAGCUGCCUUCAUCAUUUUCAAUAUGUACACCAACACUUCUAAUUUCUUUCAUUUUAGUAUUGAAUUCUCUGAUCCAGUCUGGGUUGUCACUUCCAUAAAUGCAAAAUAUUUCUGCCUUCUUCUACCUGAAGUCUCUGAACGGGUGCGAUACUCACCUAUAUGAUGAUAACAAAAAC